AAGUAUUUAUUUCAACAUGACUUCUUCUGCAUGCAUACCACACAUUUUUCUCGUUCAGAAACACCAAUUUACUAUGGUUAUCUUCGCAAUAAAUGUGAACCCAGAAGAGUUUUCUUCCAGAUUACCAUUGGUUCGCCAUUGGCAUUGGGAAUCUGGAGUAAAUUCUUACUCACCGGCCACUGUAUCAGUACCCGAAUGAGCUUGUUCUUGUGUGAGGCCCUGAACUUGAACAAACCAAUCCACCUGAGCACAAGCAGUAAAAGCUUGCUACGAGGUUCACUCGCCAAAUGAUUGAUAGAGAUCUGAAACCAAAGCUCAAAUGAGCGAAAGUUAAUCAAAUGGUUCAUUUAAUGGACCGAUUGCUCAAACUGGAAGGUAUGCAUUUGCACCUUACUCCAUAUCAAGUUCAUGCGACUGGUCAAGAUGAAGGGAUGCUUGAAUAUAUUCCUUGAAGUUUGCUUGCACACGUAACUUCAUAUUGAGGAUCAUGGACGCCAGUAGCCACUGCUGGGUUUCCAAUUGACUUGUUUGGAAGAAAGGGUAUUUGCAUUCUAGCUUCAUUUCUUAAGUAGAUUUGUUUGUACAGAAAGUUACUUUGUUGAUUUUGGUUAACUGCUUGCUCCUGAUUUUAACAGAACAUGAUGGUAUUAUAAGUUACCUGCAAAAGUUCCAUCCUGACGAAGAUGGUCCAUUUGAUAUAACUGUCAAUGCUCGGAAAUUUAUGUUUGUGUCUGCCUUUUAUGCUUGGAAAUAAUUAUAUAGAAACGUUGAUUUCAGUUCUCUUUCAAGUCAGUGAUUUUCAACUGUCAAUCUUGUAGUGCUGCAUCUCUAAGAUGAUUCUUUUUUGCUUCAGAGGAAAGUGAACUCAGCAAUCAAAGUGAUUAUAUUCUUCUGUUCCAUCUUGUAAGGGUUAUAUAGUGCAACUAGGCUUUACUAUUUUUGACUAAAAUUUGUAUCAAUUAACACCUUCUGCAUCAUGUUGUUUGCCAAGCAUAUUAAUGCUCUGUUCUGAAAAAAAUUCAUCUUUUCCUCUUUGCAUCAUACUGCAAAUGUAGCGGUUGGUUGCCAUCUAGCAGGAAUGCUAAUAUUACUUGAAAGUUGUGUGGAGCACGCUGUUGCUGAAAAACGCCACCAUAACUAUAAUUAUUCUGGGUGGAAUCAUACCUUUCUAUAUUCAAUCCACACUGUUUUAUUUCUUAAGUAGAUUUGCUUCUACAGAAAGUUACAUUCAUUAUUUUUUUGCUUGCUCUCGGAUUUUAUCAGAGCAUCAGUGUUAUAUGUUACAUAUAAAAGUUCCAUCCUGAUGAAGAUGGCCUGCCAAUGCUUCAAACCGUCUAUAAAAGGCUGUGCUGGUUACUCUGCCAUGACAUAUAUGAUGUGUGCUGGAUACUGGUUUGUGUUUGCCUUUUAUGCUUAGAAAUAAAUAUCGUUCAGUUCUCUCUAAAUUCAGCAAUCUUCAACUGCCAAUCUUGUAGUGCUGCAUAUCUGAGACCAUUGUUUUUUGGCUCCAAAGGAAAUUGAACUUAUUGGCACCGAACUUCAUUUCUGCUCUUCUGAUUACUGUUCAGCAAUUAAACUGGUUGUUUCUCGCAUUUCACUUUUUAGUAAUUUAUAUAACACAACUAGGUGCUUAUUAUUUCUGACUAGUAUUCUUAUUUUAUUAAUGCCUUCUGCAUCGUUUUGUUUGUCAAGCAUGUUAGUGCUCUGUUCUGAAAAAAAUCAUCUCUGCCUCUUUGGAUCAUACUGCAAAUGUAGUGAUUGGUUGCUAUCUAGCAGGGAUGCUAUAUCAUUUGAAAGUUGUAUUGAGCACAUUGUUGAUGAAAUACACCACCAUAAUUAUAACAAUUCUGGGUUAAGCAUGACUUUUUAUCUCUACUCUUAUAAAAAACCGAGUUGGUGAUGAUGGUGUGCCUGCCAUCUUGCAAGAUAGACCGUUUGAUCUAUAUCUGACAGAUAGAAAGCAAACUAUGGCAAUUUUGCA